UUCAACUUCAGUAAGACGCUGCGGGCCUUGGUGACAACAGAACUGUCCCCAGAACCGCUGACCCUGCCAACAAUAACAAAUUGCUUCAGUUAGAAAUUCCAUUUUGCUUCAAGCAAUAAAACCCUACGGAAAGACAAAUGUCUAUAUUUUUCUUGGAUCAGAUUUUGCACAGACCGUACCAGGCCGGUGCCAUUGUUCAUGAAGCUACCAAGGACCGCGGCUCCUCUUCCCUUUCAGUUUUCACCAACUUGGUUCAUUUCAGCCAACAAAUGAAAUGAUGCUCAAAUUCUAUGGCUUCUAUAAGCAGGCAACUGAAGGACCCUGUAAACUUUCAAGGCCUGGAUUCUGGGAUCCUAUUGGAAGAUACAAAUGGGAUGCUUGGAGUUCAUUGGGUGAUAUGACCAAAGAGGAAGCCAUGAUUGCAUAUGUUGAAGAAAUAAAAAAGUUUAUUUACUUAGUGGACCUGGUUUAUCUAUAACAGAAAGCAGAGUUUAGUCCUUUUGGCUGUUAACUAUAUCAGUAGCAAAAUAAC